rnacentral:misc_RNA from 1 species
UGCACAUCACCCACGCAGACGCGCGCACGUCAGCACCGAGGCAGAGGCGGCAACAGCAACUGAGCCAUACGGUGUGCACCCUCACGUUAACGCACGCACAAGCAUCCGGACUCACCAGAAGUACAGCCUUCCGUUCUUCUCUCACGCUCUCUCUUUCACUGUUCCCCACCCCCCCCCACCCCUCACUCCACCCAAACAUCCACGCAUCCCGUUCUCGUUUUGCUGUGCCGAAACAACGAUGCGCCCCGUGACGCGAUCGCCGCUCCUCGUCGCCACCGUCGUGGUGGCGGCCACGCUGUGCCUCAGCGGUGACAACGUUAUCUUGUCCUUGUCCUCUGGUGUGCGGCUGGCACGCGCGGAUGGCCCCAUCACGAAAGAGCAGUGCUUCAUCCUCAACCCGAAGCCGACCGUCACGUCCUGUAAUGCGUACCUGCCGCCUAUCGUUGAUUUGUACGGCAUGCUGCCCUACGACAAGACACCGGCCUACACGAACUGCGUAAAGGAGCGGUGUCUUUGCACGGGCGCCGCGACGAGUACGGCCAUCAAGACGAGCGGCCUCUUCUGCAACAGUUCUGGCUGGAUGGAGAGCGGCUACACGACGUGUAACGUGUUGGUCGACUGCUUCUCCAAGUUCUGGCGGUGCAUAAACAAGGCACUCUACACGCGUUACCUCGAAGACCGCGGGAACCUCGAUCCGACGGAAGUGGAUCUUAUGGCCGACAUGAUUUCCCACGGCAACCGCCCUGGUGAGACGUUCGACAUCACCGAUAUCUUCCGCUCGUGCCGUCUGAUGAUGUGCGCUGCCGCGAACUCGCGCCAGAACUGCGGCCUCGUCACGUGCCUGCCGAACUACACCCAGUGCGACGAGUACAUCCGCCCUCCGCCGCUGCCGUAUACGCAUCAACUGUGCACGCAGGGAUGCCGUGCCGUCCUGCUGAUGAUGGCGCUGACUAUCGCCGCUGUGUCUUUCUCUGUUUGCUGCUUCUGCUGCUGCCCGGCGCAGGUGCGCAUCAGCGAGCCCGUGAUGAAAGAGGCGCCGGCGCAUAGGCUCGAGUCGAACUCUAUGUGGAGCGAAGUGGAGGCCCAGGAUAGGCGGCAUCGGAUGGGUGAUUCGUGCACGCCGUAAGGCGUACCAACGAGAAUGGGAGACGCACAGGGAACGAAACACAGAAAGGGAAGCGGAGGAGAGAAGAGGAUCAGCAGCCCCAACGGCGGCGGCUGCAGGUGGCGCUACCACUGCAGGCUUUGGCAGGGAGAGAGCAAGCGAAAUGGUAGCAGCGGGUGCGAGCGAAAGGCGUGGACGGGGUUGUCGAUGUAGGCGACAGACGCAUCCCUGACGCGUAUAUCUGCUCCUCCCCUUCUCCCGCUCCCUCUCUCUCUCUCUCUGUGUGUGUCUGUGCCUGUGUGUGCACAUGUGUAUAUGUGUAUGUUGUACCCUCCCUUGCGUUUUGUGACGGUGUCUGGUGUCGGCGUUAUGCGUCGCCAUCUCCCUCAGCACACACAGAGGCCGGCAUACCAACACAGACGCACAAGCAUGGCGAGUGCGUCGCUGUCUCUUCCUCUGUUCGGUCCCUCUCUCGCUGUCCCCUGAUUCUCCCUGCUCGUCGUGUAUGCGUGCUUCUGUCUCUCUCCCCCUCCCACUCAUAGUGUGCCGUCCACGUCUCCCUUGAUGCCCACACGCACCCGCACACACGUCGUGAAGCGUUGUCUUGUCCUUCCCUCUCUCCCUGUCUUUUCACCCUUCUCGUGUGGUGCGUGCGUGUGUUUGUGUGUGUGUGUUUACAUCUUUUCUUUUUCCCAUUGAUGCUCUGUGUGUGCGCGCCUGUGUCUGUCGCGCUUGCUUUCUUGCUCGCUCUUUUCCUGUGAUUUAGAUGUCUGUUGCUUCGCCUCUGUUGGCGGACAGAGGGAGGAGAGGAUGGGGUUCUGGUAAUCAUGUGCACACCUCUCUCCCUCUCUCUACAUGCGUUCCCGUGCUUGACGACGGUGGCACUGGUGGGCUCUGUGUCUUCUUCUUUUGCGUUCGCGCGUUGCUGUGUGUGUGUGCGUUGUUCCUUUUUUGGCUUUCUGGGGGUGGGAGAGCGCUGUGCGCGUGCCGACAUGUCGUCUGUCGUCGUUUAUUGUUCGUCGUUGGUCGCGCGUCUCUCCCGUCCGUGAGCCGCACGGUAGAUUGCCAACGUCGGUUGAACACGCACGCACGCGUGCCGGCAAGCACGUGUGCGUGCGCGCUCACGUUUUUUGUUUUGGGGGAUCACAAACGAAAAAGGAGGAGGGCGUAGGCGAGCGAGAGAGGUGGUGACCAUGGCGACGUGCUGCCCUGGAGAAAAUGGGGAGAGGAAGCUCUCAGUAUGCGCAGACGUCCGCGCGCUCCCACCACCUCCUCCUCCCUCCUCGAACUCUGCAUCGCAACGUGGCUCCGCCUUGUCUCGGUCUGCGUGCGUGUGUUCGGGUGUGUCGGUCUAGGCGAUCGAGGAAUGGCCGCACACGGUGCGGCGCGUUUCGUGGAAGUCACGCGUCGUCCGACUUCGUACCCCGCUCUCGCUCGCUCGCCGUCUCACUCAUCGUCCUCGUCGUAAACAUUCGCCCUCGGGCUUUAUUUUCCAUCGCUUCAGCACACCAACACCACCACCAUAACCGAAUAGGGGUCUCGCUGUUCUUCUUCCUCGUGUGUCUGGCGUGCAGAGGGUGUGUCUCUGUCGGUCUGUUUGUGUGUGUGUGUGUGGUGGGAGGGGGGGGGGAGGUAUUCUGCCCGGCGCUUUCUCAGCCACCUCCCUGUCUCUUCUCUCGUUUUCUUGCGUUGUGUCUCUGUGCCGCGACGGCGGUUAGGGCCGUCACGGCAGUGGUGACAGCCAGGCUACCCCGCACCCUGCCCACCAGAACCCCUCCUCCGCCUUCUGUACGGCUGCAUCUCUCUGUAUGUCAAGCCCAGCCAUCCACUAAUCUGUCCCGCCGUGCCCGUUGUCGCCGUUGAUUCGUUGUGUCUCUCCAGGAAUGACGACAGUGUCCCCCCCCCCCACCCUCUCUCCCUCUCUCAUCCCUCCUGAGCCUCGCCCUCGCCCUCAAACCAUGUUAUCGCGUAUGCCGUGUCGAGUGGAAGCGGCAGGGAGGGGUUGGCGAGGCGCCGAUUGGCAAGCUGGAGGUGCCCAUCGGGUGUGCGAGAUAGCCUGCGACGCUGCCAGAACCAGGCACGAAAGUGUGGCAGAGGCGAAAGGUGACGCGACGACAUCGUAGAGCUGCACACGGCGAGCAGUCAAGGAGGUAGCCCCAGCUCCACAGAACGAAGUUCAGCACCCAUAUGCAGCGCGCGUCGCCACUUUAGACGCCUCCGCCGCCGCCCUGGGCAGCGGCCGAGCAACGUCCAUCGCCUGCACAUGAGUAGGAUGCGCUCAAGAGAGUUGUGUACACUCGCGUGGGUGCUUUAAUGCCGCAGUGUGAUGUGCUUGCCUGUGCAUCUGGGACACAAAC